AAGGAAGGCCUGGAGAAGUGUCAGAUGCACCUCAGCGUAAACAGUUUUGUCACUGGCCCUGCAAAUGCCCUCAGCAGAAGCCCCGUUGCCCUCCUGGAGUGAGCCUGGUGAGAGAUGGCUGUGGAUGCUGUAAAAUCUGUGCCAAGCAACCAGGGGAAAUCUGCAAUGAAGCUGACCUCUGUGACCCACACAAAGGGCUGUAUUGUGACUACUCAGUAGACAGGCCUAGGUACGAGACUGGAGUGUGUGCAUGUAAGUCUGUUGGGUGCGAGUUCAACCAGGUACAUUAUCAUAAUGGCCAAGUGUUUCAGCCCAACCCCUUGUUCAGCUGCCUCUGUGUGAGUGGGGCCAUUGGAUGCACACCUCUGUUCAUACCAAAGCUGGCUGGCAGUCACUGCUCUGGAGCUAAAGGUGGAAAGAAGUCUGAUCAGUCAAACUGUAGCCUGGAACCAUUACUACAGCAGCUUUCAACAAGCUACAAAACAAUGCCAGCUUAUAGAAAUCUCCCACUUAUUUGGAAAAAAAAAUGUCUUGUGCAAGCAACAAAAUGGACUCCCUGCUCCAGAACAUGUGGGAUGGGAAUAUCUAACAGGGUGACCAAUGAAAACAGCAACUGUGAAAUGAGAAAAGAGAAAAGACUGUGUUACAUUCAGCCUUGCGACAGCAAUAUAUUAAAGACAAUAAAGAUUCCCAAAGGAAAAACAUGCCAACCUACUUUCCAACUCUCCAAAGCUGAAAAAUUUGUCUUUUCUGGAUGCUCAAGUACUCAGAGUUACAAACCCACUUUUUGUGGAAUAUGCUUGGAUAAGAGAUGCUGUAUCCCUAAUAAGUCUAAAAUGAUUACUAUUCAAUUUGAUUGCCCAAAUGAGGGGUCAUUUAAAUGGAAGAUGCUGUGGAUUACAUCUUGUGUGUGUCAGAGAAACUGCAGAGAACCUGGAGAUAUAUUUUCUGAGCUCAAGAUUCUGUAAAACCAAGCAAAUGGGGGAAAAGUUAGUCAAUCCUGUCAUAUAAUAAAAAAAUUAGUGAGU
rnacentral:lncRNA from 1 species